rnacentral:ncRNA from 1 species
GCGGGACCCGGAGAACGGGUCCGCGGACGAGGGAGCCGUACCCGCACCACGACAAGACGGCCUCGU